CCUUUCCCGCGCGACCGGCGAGGGAGGAAGAAGCGCGAAGAGCCGUUAGUCAUGCCGGUGUGGUGGCGGCGGCGGAGACUGCGGGCCCGUAGCUGGGCUCUGCGAGGUGCAAGAAAGCCUUUGAGGUGAAGGUGUAUGAAAGUCAUCAUAACAGAUGUUUUCCAAAAACUUGUAGAAGGUUGUGAAAAAACUACUAGGAUCACGCGGCAUGUAUUGAGCAUAUAGGUUGCUGUAGAUGAAUGUUCUUAGCUGUCAUGUUUAAAAAUACUUCUGCUUCGUUACCUCAAGUGUGGCAUGCAGCAUUUUGGAAGGAAAAUUGAAGACGUGUUCAAGAAAACAUGAACAGAAGCAAAUGAUGAAAAUGAGCAUUUUACUUGAUGUUGAUAACAUCACAAUAAAUUAUGGAGAAAAAUACAUAUUUGGCUAACUUUUAAUUGCUGAACAAUAAAGUGUUUUCUUUUAAAUCAACUCU
rnacentral:lncRNA from 1 species